GCCUGGUUUCAGAGAGGUGUA
rnacentral:miRNA from 1 species